rnacentral:rRNA from 1 species
CAGUAGCCACGGUAAUACGAAGGGUGCAAGCGUUAAUCGGAAUUACUGGGCGUAAAGCGUGCGUAGGCGGUUUGUUAAGUCUGUUGUGAAAUCCCCGGGCUCAACCUGGGAAUGGCAAUGGAUACUGGCAAGCUAGAGUGUGUCAGAGGAUUGUGGAAUUCCCGGUGUAGCGGUGAAAUGCGUAGAGAUCGGGAGGAACAUCAGUGGCGAAGGCGGCCAUCUGGGACAACACUGACGCUGAGGCACGAAAGCGUGGGGAGCAAACAGGAUUAGAUACCCCCGUAGUCCCUGUCUCUUAUAC